rnacentral:misc_RNA from 1 species
GCCCUUUGUUACAGUUAUCGGUGACAAAAAUUAAGAUAUAGGUCCACUUGGGCUGUGGUGGAACGGCUUUAUUCACCUCUUUCACUGCUGAUAAUAUGAUUUUCUUGGUUACUUGUGAUGAUGAGCAUCAAGCUUCCAUAUGUUGCUUUAGGUGCCUAUGAUUGUCACUGAUAGGGACUCAUUAUACUUCAUUUUCUUGUUGAGCUGUGAUGCUCAAUUUAACUGGCUCCAUAGCAUGGACAUCCUUAGGUAAAAGGCUUGUGGCGUAGAGGAUUACUGAUACUUUGUUUAGGAUGUUGAUGGUCAAAUUGUUUUAUGGAUUCUUCUUUGGGUGUGUUACCCUUGGGUCCAUACUCUCGUAUUUAUUAUUU